rnacentral:rRNA from 1 species
AGUGAACGCUGGCGGUAGGCCUAACACAUGCAAGUCGAACGGCAGCACAGUAAGAGCUUGCUCUUACGGGUGGCGAGUGGCGGACGGGUGAGGAAUACAUCGGAAUCUACUUUUUCGUGGGGGAUAACGUAGGGAAACUUACGCUAAUACCGCAUACGACCUACGGGUGAAAGCAGGGGAUCUUCGGACCUUGCGCGAUUGAAUGAGCCGAUGCCGGAUUAGCUAGUUGGCGGGGUAAAGGCCCACCAAGGCGACGAUCCGUAGCUGGUCUGAGAGGAUGAUCAGCCACACUGGAACUGAGACACGGUCCAGACUCCUACGGGAGGCAGCAGUGGGGAAUAGUGGACAAUGGGCGCAAGCAUGAUACAGCCAUACCGCGUGGGUGAAGAAGGCCUUCGGGUUGUAAAGCCCUUUUGUUGGGAAAGAAAAGCAGCAGGUUAAUACCCCGCUGUUCUGACGGUACCCAAAGAAUAAGCACCGGCUAACUUCGUG